UCGAGCGGUAGCACAGAGAGCUUGCUCUCGGGUGACGAGCGGCGGACGGGUGAGUAAUGUCUGGGAAACUGCCUGAUGGAGGGGGAUAACUACUGGAAACGGUAGCUAAUACCGCAUAACGUCGCAAGACCAAAGUGGGGGACCUUCGGGCCUCAUGCCAUCAGAUGUGCCCAGAUGGGAUUAGCUAGUAGGUGGGGUAACGGCUCACCUAGGCGACGAUCCCUAGCUGGUCUGAGAGGAUGACCAGCCACACUGGAACUGAGACACGGUCCAGACUCCUACGGGAGGCAGCAGUGGGGAAUAUUGCACAAUGGGCGCAAGCCUGAUGCAGCCAUGCCGCGUGUGUGAAGAAGGCCUUCGGGUUGUAAAGCACUUUCAGCNGGGGAGGAAGGCGUUGAGGUUAAUAACCUUGGCGAUUGACGUUACCCGCAGAAGAAGCACCGGCUAACUCCGUGCCAGCAGCCGCGGUAAUACGGAGGGUGCAAGCGUUAAUCGGAAUUACUGGGCGUAAAGCGCACGCAGGCGGUCUGUCAAGUCGGAUGUGAAAUCCCCGGGCUCAACCUGGGAACUGCAUUCGAAACUGGCAGGCUAGAGUCUUGUAGAGGGGGGUAGAAUUCCAGGUGUAGCGGUGAAAUGCGUAGAGAUCUGGAGGAAUACCGGUGGCGAAGGCGGCCCCCUGGACAAAGACUGACGCUCAGGUGCGAAAGCGUGGGGAGCAAACAGGAUUAGAUACCCUGGUAGUCCACGCCGUAAACGAUGUCGAUUUGGAGGUUGUGCCCUUGAGGCGUGGCUUCCGGAGCUAACGCGUUAAAUCGACCGCCUGGGGAGUACGGCCGCAAGGUUAAAACUCAAAUGAAUUGACGGGGGCCCGCACAAGCGGUGGAGCAUGUGGUUUAAUUCGAUGCAACGCGAAGAACCUUACCUGGUCUUGACAUCCACAGAACUUUCCAGAGAUGGAUUGGUGCCUUCGGGAACUGUGAGACAGGUGCUGCAUGGCUGUCGUCAGCUCGUGUUGUGAAAUGUUGGGUUAAGUCCCGCAACGAGCGCAACCCUUAUCCUUUGUUGCCAGCGGUUAGGCCGGGAACUCAAAGGAGACUGCCAGUGAUAAACUGGAGGAAGGUGGGGAUGACGUCAAGUCAUCAUGGCCCUUACGACCAGGGCUACACACGUGCUACAAUGGCAUAUACAAAGAGAAGCGACCUCGCGAGAGCAAGCGGACCUCAUAAAGUAUGUCGUAGUCCGGAUUGGAGUCUGCAACUCGACUCCAUGAAGUCGGAAUCGCUAGUAAUCGUAGAUCAGAAUGCUACGGUGAAUACGUUCCCGGGCCUUGUACACACCGCCCGUCACACCAUGGGAGUGGGUUGCAAAAGAAGUAGGUAGCUUAACCUUCGGNGAGGGCGCUUACCACUUUGUGAUUCA
rnacentral:rRNA from 1 species